GGGGAAGUAGCUCAGUGGUAGAGCAUCUGCUUUGCAUGAAGAAGGUCCUAUGUUCCAUCUUCAGCAUCUCCA